UCUCCGUUGGUGAACCAGCGGAGGGGUCAUUACCGAGUUUACAACUCCCAAACCCCUGUGAACAUACCAUUUGUUGCCUCGGCGGUGCCUGCUUCGGCAGCCCGCCAGAGGACCCAAACCCUUGAUUUUAUACAGUAUCUUCUGAGUAAAUGAUUAAAUAAAUCAAAACUUUCAACAACGGAUCUCUUGGUUCUG
rnacentral:misc_RNA from 1 species